GACGAACGCUGGCGGCGUGCUUAACACAUGCAAGUCGAACGGUAAGGCCCUUCGGGGUACACGAGUGGCGAACGGGUGAGUAACACGUGGGUGAUCUGCCCUGCACUUCGGGAUAAGCAUGGGAAACUGGGUCUAAUACCGGAUAGGACCAUUGCCUGCCUGGGUGGUGGUGGAAAGCUUGUGCGGGGUGGGGUGGGCCCGCGGCCUAUCAGCUUGUUGGUGGGGUGAUGGCCUACCAAGGCGACGACGGGUAGGCGGCCUGAGAGGGUGACCGGCCACACUGGGACUGAGAUACGGCCCAGACUCCUACGGGAGGCAGCAGUGGGGAAUAUUGCACAAUGGGCGCAAGCCUGAUGCAGCGACGCCGCGUGAGGGAUGACGGCCUUCGGGUUGUAAACCUCUUUCAGCACCGACGAAGCGCGAGUGACGGUAGGUGCAGAAGAAGGACCGGCCAACUACGUGCCAGCCGCCGCCGUAA
rnacentral:rRNA from 1 species